GCGGUGGAAUGCGCAGAUAUCAGGAGGAACACCGAUGGCGAAGGCAGAUCUCUGGGCCGUAACUGACGCUGAGGAGCGAAAGCGUGGGGAGCGAACAGGAUUAGAUACCCUGGUAGUCCACGCCGUAAACGUUGGGAACUAGAUGUGGGGACCAUUCCACGGUCUCCGUGUCGCAGCUAACGCAUUAAGUUCCCCGCCUGGGGAGUACGGCCGCAAGGCUAAAACUCAAAGGAAUUGACGGGGGCCCGCACAAGCGGCGGAGCAUGCGGAUUAAUUCGAUGCAACGCGAAGAACCUUACCAAGGCUUGACAUAUACGAGAACGGGCUAGAAAUAGUCAACUCUUUGGACACUCGUAAACAGGUGGUGCAUGGUUGUCGUCAGCUCGUGUCGUGAGAUGUUGGGUUAAGUCCCGCAACGAGCGCAACCCUCGUUCUAUGUUGCCAGCACGUAAUGGUGGGAACUCAUAGGAGACUGCCGGGGUCAACUCGGAGGAAGGUGGGGAUGACGUCAAAUCAUCAUGCCCCUUAUGUCUUGGGCUUCACGCAUGCUACAAUGGCCGGUACAAAGGGCUGCAAUACCGUAAGGUGGAGCGAAUCCCAAAAAGCCGGUCUCAGUUCGGAUUGAGGUCUGCAACUCGACCUCAUGAAGUCGGAGUCGCUAGUAAUCGCAGAUCAGCAACGCUGCGGUGAAUACGUUCCCGGGCCUUGUACACACCGCCCGUCAAGUCAUGAAAGUCGGUAACACC
rnacentral:rRNA from 1 species